GACGAACGCUGGCGGCGUGCUUAACACAUGCAAGUCGAACGGAAAGGCCCUUCGGGGUACUCGAGUGGCGAACGGGUGAGUAACACGUGGGUGAUCUGCCCUGCACUUUGGGAUAAGCCUGGGAAACUGGGUCUAAUACCGAAUAGGACCACGCGCUUCAUGGUGUGUGGUGGAAAGCUUUUGCGGUGUGGGAUGGGCCCGCGGCCUAUCAGCUUGUUGGUGGGGUAAUGGCCUACCAAGGCGACGACGGGUAGCCGGCCUGAGAGGGUGACCGGCCACACUGGGACUGAGAUACGGCCCAGACUCCUACGGGAGGCAGCAGUGGGGAAUAUUGCGCAAUGGGCGCAAGCCUGAUGCAGCGACGCCGCGUGAGGGAUGACGGCCUUCGGGUUGUAAACCUCUUUCAAUAGGGACGAAGCGCAAGUGACGGUACCUAUAGAAGAAGCACCGGCCAACUACGUGCCAGCAGCCGCGGUAAUACGUAGGGUGCGAGCGUUGUCCGGAAUUACUGGGCGUAAAGAGCUCGUAGGUGGUUUGUCGCGUUGUUCGUGAAAACUCACAGCUUAACUGUGGGCGUGCGGGCGAUACGGGCAGACUAGAGUACUGCAGGGGAGACUGGAAUUCCUGGUGUAGCGGUGGAAUGCGCAGAUAUCAGGAGGAACACCGGUGGCGAAGGCGGGUCUCUGGGCAGUAACUGACGCUGAGGAGCGAAAGCGUGGGGAGCGAACAGGAUUAGAUACCCUGGUAGUCCACGCCGUAAACGGUGGGUACUAGGUGUGGGUUCCUUCCUUGGGAUCCGUGCCGUAGCUAACGCAUUAAGUACCCCGCCUGGGGAGUACGGCCGCAAGGCUAAAACUCAAAGGAAUUGACGGGGGCCCGCACAAGCGGCGGAGCAUGUGGAUUAAUUCGAUGCAACGCGAAGAACCUUACCUGGGUUUGACAUGCACAGGACGCCGGCAGUGAUGUCGGUUCCCUUGUGGCCUGUGUGCAGGUGGUGCAUGGCUGUCGUCAGCUCGUGUCGUGAGAUGUUGGGUUAAGUCCCGCAACGAGCGCAACCCUUGUCCUAUGUUGCCAGCGGGUUAUGCCGGGGACUCGUAGGAGACUGCCGGGGUCAACUCGGAGGAAGGUGGGGAUGACGUCAAGUCAUCAUGCCCCUUAUGUCCGGGGCUUCACACAUGCUACAAUGGCCGGUACAAAGGGCUGCGAUGCCGUGAGGUGGAGCGAAUCCUUUCAAAGCCGGUCUCAGUUCGGAUCGGGGUCUGCAACUCGACCCCGUGAAGUCGGAGUCGCUAGUAAUCGCAGAUCAGCAACGCUGCGGUGAAUACGUUCCCGGGCCU
rnacentral:rRNA from 1 species